UUCUUCUCUUUUAACGUCACAGGUAUGCUCUUUACUGCCAAUGAAGACCCCAAGAUGAAUACGUUCUACAUCCCUGCACUGGGGCCUGCUCCUCGCUGAUGCUCUUUCCUGGACAACCUGACAGAGGAGCUGGAGGAGAGCCCUGAGAGUACCACCUACGAUGAUUACAAGUUUGUCACCCGCAAGGACCUGGAGAACCUGGGUCUGUCUCACCUGGUGGGAUCUUCUCUACUGCGGGCCUACAUGCAUGGCUUCUUGAUGGACAUCAGACUGUACCAUAAGGUGAAGACCAUGGCCAAUCCAUUUGCCUACGAUGAGUACCGCAAGGACAAGAUUCGCCAAAAGAUAGGAGUCCAGGGCGCAGAGAAUACAA